rnacentral:rRNA from 1 species
CCCGCUGAACUUAAGCAUAUCAAUAAGCGGAGGAAAAGAAACCAACAGGGAUUGCCUCAGUAACGGCGAGUGAAGCGGCAACAGCUCAAAUUUGAAAUCUGGCUCUUUCACGGUCCGAGUUGUAGUUUGUAGAAGAUGCUUCGGGUGUGGUGCCGGCCUGAGUUCCUUGGAACAGGACGUCAUACAGGGAGAGAGUCCCGUACGUGACUGGCCACCUUCGCCUGUGUGAAGCUCUUUCGACCAGUCGAGUUGUUUGUGAAUGCAACUCAAAAUGGGAGGUAAAUUUCAUCUCAAGCUAAAUAUUGGUCAGAGACCGAUAGCGCACAAGUAGAGUGAUCGAGAGAUGAAAAGCACUUUGGAAAGAGAGAUAAACAGUACGUGAAAUUGUUGAUAGGGAAGCGCUUGCGACCGGACUUGCACGUAGCUGAUCAUCCUGGGUUCUCCCCGUGGCACUUGCCUACCUUCAGCCCAGUAUUGGUUUCGGUGGUUGGAUAAAGGCCUAGGGAAUGUGGCUCUCUUCGGGGAGUGUUAUAGCCCUAGGUGCAAUGCAGCCUACUGGGACCGAGGACCGCGCUCCGGCUAGGAUGCUGGCGUAAUGGUUGUCAGCGACCCGUCUUGAAACACGG